GGGUGGGCAGAGCAGUUACCACAUCUCUUAUCUUCCCCCCUUCCCACUUUCCUCAAAGGCCCGGGCUCUGUAUUCUGAUGAUAAGGUGGCCACUUCUGGAUUUACAGAGCAUUUCUACUUCCUGAGCAGGAGCCCCAUAGCAGAGAAGCCAGGCCUCCGUGCGGGACUCCAGCCCAGCCCACGCCUGCCCUCUGCCUCCUUCCUCCCCAUCUGCUGCUUCCUCAGGCCCUAACCUCAGCCCUGACCCCUUCACAGGUUUCUACUGCCCUGAAGGGACAGGGCUUGACUGGCAGCCCUGCCCCCCAGGCACCUACGGCCCCACACUGGGACUGAGUAGGCUGCCAGAAUGUCAAGCCUGUGACAGGGGCAGGUUCUGCCCCAGGGCCAAUGCUACGGAGGCUGGUGGGCAGUGUUGGGAAGGCUUCUUCUGCUCCAGAGGCUCCACCCGGCCCAACCCCGAGGCCGGCACUGAAGAGGAGGCUGGCCCAUGUCCUCAGGGACACUAUUGCCCCAGGGGUUCAGCCGUGCCCCAGCCCUGCCCACCUGGCACCUUCAGCGCACGCAUCAAACUCAGCUCAGAGGCCGACUGCUCUCGGUGCCCAGCUGGCCACUACUGCGGCUCUGCAGGCCUCACCAGCCCUUCAGGGCCCUGCAGCUCAGGCUUCUUCUGCCGCCAUGGGGCCCUCAUUCCCAACGGCUCCCUGGGAGAUGGGACCAGUGGCCCUUGCCCUGCAGGGCACUUUUGCCCUCCAGGCACUGUGACCCCCAGACCGUGCCCAGCAGGCACCUACAACAGCCUGGCUGCCCAGGGCCACUGCGAGUCUUGUCCUGAGGGGUGAGUGCUGAGAGGCCGUCCAAGGGGCUUGUGUGUCCUGCCCAACGGGGUGAGCCUUCCUGCUACAGGAAGUGGCUGGACUGGAUGCUCUCUAAGACCCCUUUCAACCUGAGUUUUCUGUGACUUUAAAAAAAGGUCACUGAAGGGGGUACCUGGGUGGCUCAGUGGUUGAGCAUCUGCCUUCGGCUCAGGGCAUGAUCCCGGGGUCCUGGGAUCGAGUCCCACACCGGGCUCCCUGAGAGGAGCCUGCUUCUCCCUCUGCCUAUGUCUCUGCCUCUCUCUGUGUCUCUCAUGAAUAAAUUUUUAAAAAAAAUCA
rnacentral:lncRNA from 12 species